UACUUGGUGUGAAUUGCAGAAUCCCGUGAACCAUCGAGUUUUUGAACGCAAGUUGCGCCCAAAGCCUUUUGGUUGAGGGCACGUCUGCCUGGGUGUCACACAAUGUUGCCCAAACCCCAAUUGCUACGGUGUUUGGGCGGAUGUUGGUCUCCCGUGCGCCCCUAGCUCGCGGCUGGCCUAAAAACGAGCCUUGUUGAUGUCGUACACGGCAAUCGGUGGUUUAUAGACCCUCGGACAAUGUCGUGCACUCUCAUCGCAUUGGCAUUAAUGGCCCCAAUGCAUUCUUUGCAUGAUCGCAAAGCGACCCCAGGUCAGGUGAGACUACCCGCUGAGUUUAAGCAUAUCAAUAAGCGGAGGAAAAGAAACUUACCAGGAUUCCCCUAGUAACGGCGAGCGAACCGGGAAAAGCCCAGAUUGAGAAUCGGUUGCCUCGGGCAUCCGAAUUGUAGUCUGGAGAAGCGUCA
rnacentral:rRNA from 1 species